GCGUCGGUGGCACAGUGGUUAGGACUCUCGCCCACCAUGCACAUGGUUCGGGGUUCGAACCCCCGCCGACGCA
rfam:Trichobilharzia regenti genome assembly, scaffold: TRE_scaffold0105766